CGGCGCGUGCCGCCGCCCCCGCUGCCGCCCACCUUCCGCAUGGGCGCCACCAACACCAGCAGCCUGCACAGUAGCAACGACAGCGGCUUCAGCAACCCCACCCCGGAGGCCGACUUCUCAGACGACGACAGCGUCAGGAGCAACGUGUUCGCCACGGUGAAGCUGCGGAAAACCAAGACGAACGACCGGUCGGCUCCGCUCAUCCUGUAGGCGGCGCACACAUCCACACACACACACCUGCCCUGUUUCUCUUCCUGCCAGCCGCAGAACCGCGGGGCUCCCCCGCGCUGCAUAGCUUCGCUGUUUUCUCCGAGUCCGACCAGCUAUUACGUAGUAUGCGCUAGAACGAGUCCCUCUGUUCCCGUCUGACUGUACGUGACACCGACGGGCUGACGUGGAGGGGUUCAGAGGGAAAUAUUUUUAAAUUAGAUUCCUACAAGACACAGGCGACGAAGAACCGUGACGCAAAAGGGUGCAGAGGGAAUAGAAACCAUUUAGGGUUAAAUACAUUGUAAGUGGCUGGAAGUGUUCCAGUUUACAGCUAAGGAAAACUGUUGAAUUGUAAAUUAGCUGUAAAUAAAUAUCCUAAUAAAAGUUUAUCUCAUAUAUAAA